rnacentral:rRNA from 1 species
CUACGGGCGGCUGCAGUGAGGAAUAUUGCACAAUGGGGGGAACCCUGAUGCAGCAACGCCGCGUGGAGGAUGACGCAUUUCGGUGUGUAAACUCCUUUUAUAUGUCAAGAAAAUGACGGUAGCAUAUGAAUAAGCACCGGCUAACUCCGUGCCAGAGCCGCGGUAAUACGGAGGGUGCACGCGUUACUCGGAAUCACUGGGCGUAAAGGACGCGUAGGCGGGUUGGAAAGUCAGGUGUGAAAUCCUACAGCUUAACUGUAGAACUGCACUUGAAACUUCUAAUCUAGAGUAUGGGAGGGGGAGAUGGAAUUAGUGGUGUAGGGGUAAAAUCCGUAGAUAUCACUAGGAAUACCUAAAGCGAAGGCGAUCUCCUGGAACAUUACUGACGCUAAGGCGUGAAAGCGUGGGGAGCAAACAGGAUUAGAUACCCCCGUAGUC